AUGGAUAGAUCUUGUGUGUGCGUAGAAUUUUUUUUGUUUACCCUGCAACGUUCCCCAACAUUCUUAGGUAGGAACUAUCUUAGGACUCUCCAGGAACUGUUCAAUCUCAGACACUCCAGCCUUAGAGUUACUGUUGAGAGGGCGUUUGGAGCUCUGAAGAACAUGUUUAAGAUCCUGGUUCAGAAGCCAUUCCACCCUUACCCUACCCAGGUUAAACUUGUUCUUGCAUGUUGCAUCAUUCACAACUGAAUCCUGCAAUGGGGAAUUGAUGAACUUGUGCUGGAGGAGGAAGACAUGAGUCAUGAUGAGGUGAUCAGCUCUGGUCAUGGUGUGGAGGCAUUUGACAAUGAAGCGUGGAAGAACAAAAGGUUGAAGUGGGCUCAGACAAUGUGGGAUAAUAGAGGUCAGAAAAGGAUCUGA
rnacentral:rRNA from 1 species